rnacentral:rRNA from 1 species
GAUGAACGCUGGCGGCGUGCCUAAUACAUGCAAGUCGAGCGAACAGACGAGGAGCUUGCUCCUCUGACGUUAGCGGCGGACGGGUGAGUAACACGUGGAUAACCUACCUAUAAGACUGGGAUAACUUCGGGAAACCGGAGCUAAUACCGGAUAAUAUAUUGAACCGCAUGGUUCAAUAGUGAAAGACGGUUUUGCUGUCACUUAUAGAUGGAUCCGCGCCGCAUUAGCUAGUUGGUAAGGUAACGGCUUACCAAGGCAACGAUGCGUAGCCGACCUGAGAGGGGGGAGGCGCCAACGGGAACGUGACACAGGGCCCACCCCCAAAGGGGAGGAGACAGGGGGGAUUCUCCAGAAAGGGGCGAAGGCCGGAGGGAGCACCGCGGGGGGAGGGAGAAGGGUGUUAGGAUCGAAAAACUGUUUUAUGAGGAAAAAAAAAAUGUGAAAGAAACUAGGCACGUCUGGAGGGUCCCUAAUAAGAAAGCCACGCCAAACUCCGUG